UACGGAGGGUGCAAGCGUUGUCCGGAAUCACUGGGCGUAAAGGGCGCGUAGGCGGCUCAUGAAGGCUGUGGUGAAAGUCCGGGGCUCAACCUCGGAUCGGCCGUGGCGACUCGUGGGCUGGAGCACUGUAGAGGCGGGUGGAAUUCCGGGUGUAGCGGUGGAAUGCGUAGAGAUGUGGAGGAACACCAGUGGCGAAGGCGGCUUUCUGGUCUGUAACUGACGCUGAGGCGCGAAAGCGUGGGGGAGCAAACAGG
rnacentral:rRNA from 1 species